UGGGUGCAAGCCGAAAAACCCGACAAAAAAAGAGUAGGCA
rnacentral:ncRNA from 1 species